rnacentral:rRNA from 1 species
AUUGAACGCUGGCGGCAGGCUUAACACAUGCAAGUCGAGCGGGGGAAGGUAGCUUGCUACCGGACCUAGCGGCGGACGGGUGAGUAAUGCUUAGGAAUCUGCCUAUUAGUGGGGGACAACAUCUCGAACGGGAUGCUGAUACCGCAUACGUCCUACGGGAGAAAGCAGGGGAUCUUCGGACCUUGCGCUAAUAGAUGCGCCUAAGUCGGAUUAGCUAGUUGGUGGGGUAAAGGCCUACCAAGGCGACGAUCUGUCGCGGGUCUGAGAGGAUGAUCCGCCACACUGGGACUGAGACACGGCCCAGACGCCUACGGGAGGCAGCAGUGGGGAAUAUUGGACAAUGGGGGGAACCCUGAUCCAGCCAUGCCGCGUGUGUGAAGAAGGCCUUAUGGUUGUAAAGCACUUUAAGCGAGGAGGAGGCUACUCUAGUUAAUACCUAGGGAUAGUGGACGUUACUCGCAGAAUAAGCACCGGCUAACUCUGUGCCAGCCGCCGCGGUAA